rnacentral:rRNA from 1 species
CGGGUGCAGCAGGCGCGAAAACUUUACAAUGCUGGAAACAGCGAUAAGGGGACCUCGAGUGCCAGGUUACAAAUCUGGCUGUCGUGAUGCCUAAAAAGCAUUGCAUAGCAAGGGCCGGGCAAGACCGGUGCCAGCCGCCGCGGUAACACCGGCGGCUCGAGUGGUAACCGUUAUUAUUGGGUCUAAAGGGUCUGUAGCCGGCCGGAUAAGUCUCUUGGGAAAUCCAGCAGCUCAACUGUUGGGCUUUCAGGAGAUACUGUCUGGCUCGAGGCCGGGAGAGGUGAGAGGUACUUCAGGGGUAGGGGUGAAAUCUUGUAAUCCUUGAAGGACCACCAGUGGCGAAGGCGUCUCACCAGAACGGACCUGACGGCAAGGGACGAAAGCUAGGGGCACGAACCGGAUUAGAUACCCGGGUAGUCCUAGCCGUAAACGAUACUCGCUAGGUGUCGGCCACGGUGCGACCGUUGUCGGUGCCGUAGGGAAGCCGUGAAGCGAGCCACCUGGGAAGUACGGCCGCAAGGCUGAAACUUAAAGGAAUUGGCGGGGGAGCACAAGGGCGAUUCGCCGCCG